rnacentral:rRNA from 1 species
GAUCUGGCUCAGGAUGAACGCUGGCGGCAUGCCUAAUACAUGCAAGUCGAACGGACCGAAGGGAAAGCUUGCUUUUCCUGAAGUCAGUGGCGAACGGGUGAGUAACACGUAGGUAACCUGCCCAUGUGCCCGGGACAACGCCUGGAAACGGGUGCUAAAACCGGAUAGGUAGAGAGAUCGCAUGAACUUUCUAUUAAAGGGGCUACGGCCCUGAACAUGGAUGGACCUGCGGUGCAUUAGCUAGUUGGUG